rnacentral:rRNA from 1 species
GGCCAGCAUCGGUUUUGGUGGGCGGAUAAAGGCCUUGGGAAUGUGGCAUCUUCGGGUGUGUUAUAGCCUCUGGUUGUAUACAUUGGUUGGGACUGAGGAACUCAGCACGCCGCAAGGCCGGGUUUUUAACCACGUUCGUGCUUAGGAUGCUGGCAUAAUGGCUUUAAUCGA